UACCAGCUCUCCGAGUGGUGUAGAUGUUUAUUGGGCCUAAAGCAUCCGUAGCUGGCAGGGCAAGUCCCCUGUUAAAUCCACCGAUUUAAUCGUUGGAGUGCGGGGGAUACUGCUCGGCUAGGGGGCGGGAGAGGCAGACGGUAUUUUCGGGGUAGGGGUGAAAUCCUAUAAUCCCGAGAAGACCACCAGUGGCGAAGGCUGUCUGCUAGAACGUGCCCGACGGUGAGGGAUGAAAGCUGGGGGAGCGGAACCGGAUUAGAUACCCGGGUAGUCCCAGCUGUAAACGAUGCAGGCUAGGUGUUUGGACGGCCACGUGCCGUUCUAGUGCCGCAGGGAAGCCGUUAAGCCUGCCGCCUGGGGAGUACGGCCGCAAGGCUAGAAACUUAAAGGGAAUUGGGCGGGGAGCACCACGAAGGGGUGAAGCUUAGCGGUUU
rnacentral:rRNA from 1 species